ACCAGACUCCUACGGGAGGCAGCAGUGGGGAAUAUUGCACAAUGGGCGAAAGCCUGAUGCAGCAACGCCGCGUGAAGGAAGAAGGGUUUCGGCUCGUAAACUUCUAUCAACAGGGACGAAAGAAAUGACGGUACCUGAAUAAGAAGCCCCGGCUAACUACGUGCCAGCAGCCGCGGUAAUACGGAGGAUGCGAGCGUUAUCCGGAUUUAUUGGGUUUAAAGGGUGCGUAGGCGGGCUGUUAAGUCAGCGGGAAAAGGUCGGGGCUCAACCCCGGCGAGCCGUUGAAACUGGCGGGCUGGAGUUGGAGAGAAGUACGCGGAAUGCGCGGUGUAGCGGUGAAAUGCUUAGAUAUCGCGCAGAACCCCGAUUGCGAAGGCAGCGUACCGGCUCCACACUGACGCUGAGGCACGAAAGCGUGGGUAUCGAACAGGAUUAGAUACCCCCGUA
rnacentral:rRNA from 1 species